rnacentral:rRNA from 1 species
CGCGCAGGCGGUCUUGUCGGUCAGAUGUGAAGGCUCGGGGCUCAACCCCGGAAGUGCACUUGAAACAGCAAGACUUGAAUACGGGAGAGGAAAGCGGAAUUCCUGGUGUAGAGGUGAAAUUCGUAGAUAUCAGGAGGAACACCGAUGGCGAAGGCAGCUUUCUGGACCGAUAUUGACGCUGAGGCGCGAAGGCGUGGGUAGCGAACG